rnacentral:lncRNA from 1 species
CUGGGAUAUGUAGUUUUCGGCUUAUUAUAUACAACGCUCGCACGCGGAAAAGCUUUCGCAUAUGCUUCUAGGAAAAUACCAAUUUAUAAUAAUCAUAUUACAAGUUAUGGAUGAUCACCGGCGCCGUGGAGAGGAAUGGACGCGCGUCUGGUGAGGCUAUAAGCGUGUUAGGUCGUGUACAAGCUUCGGGCAGCGGAUAAGCGCUGAUAAUGCGUCAAAACAACAGAAGGGACGCUGGAAUAUGAAAUAUUACAGAUGAUUGAGACAGCCCCUAUACAAAUUCCAUAUCAUUACAGCACAAAAGAAACCAUCCAUGCAAGGUGGGAACAUUUGAUGACGACAAGGUUCUUUAAUGGUCUCACUUGAGUAAGGUAAUAAUUUACUUUUCCUGCCAGAGAGAAAUGUAAUUCAGCAGGUGACCUGCUAGCUAAAGGGGUUUUAUUGAUCCUUUGGAAUUUACAGUGCAUUAAUAAUGUUAAGACUUUCAGUAUGCAUCACAUGCCCAAAGCCUCUGAAAACAAAUGGCCUUGAUGAUGCUUUUUAAACAUCACAUUAUGUUGUGCGAAGGGGCUUGUUAACCUAACGUUAACAAAACCCUUUGAUUGUGUGAUUAAAUGUGCAUUUUCAUGGGUCAUAAAGAAACUCUUACCUGACCCUGAAUCUUCA